rnacentral:rRNA from 1 species
GAUGAACGCUGGCGGCGUGCCUAAUACAUGCAAGUCGAGCGAACGGACGAGAAGAUUGCUUCUCUGAUGUUAGCGGCGGACGGGUGAGUAACACGUGGAUAACCUACCUAUAAGACUGGGAUAACUUCGGGAAACCGGAGCUCAUACCGGAUAAUAUUUUGAACCGCAUGGUUCAAAAGUGAAAGACGGUCUUGCUGUCACUGAUAGAUGGAUCCGCGCUGCAUUAGCUAGUUGGUAAGGUAACGGCUUACCAAGGCAACGAUGCAUAGCCGACCUGAGAGGGUGAUCGGCCACACUGGAACUGAGACACGGUCCAGACUCCUACGGGAGGCAGCAGUAGGGAAUCUUCCGCAAUGGGCGAAAGCCUGACGGAGCAACGCCGCGUGAGUGAUGAAGGUCUUCGGAUCGUAAAACUCUUUUAUUAGGGAAGAACAUAUGUGUAAGUAACUGUGCACAGCUUGACGGUACCGAAUCAGAAAGCAACGGCCAACUACGUG